rnacentral:rRNA from 1 species
CAAUAGCCUAACGGCUGAACCAGCAACUUGGAGGAAUGUAUAGCGAUAGCUAAUUGCAUCGAAAAUAUGAUGCAAGAUCGAUUUCUUGAAUAAAAUUCUGGGUAGAAUUAUGAUUAUGACAUUGUCUACCCAUGUGUCUUGACCAAAUUACGUGCCAGCAGUCGCGGUAAUACGUAGAAGACUAGUGUUAUUCAUCUUUAAUAGGUUUAAAGGGUACCUAGACGGUAAAUCAAGCCCUAGACGGGACUAAUUUGCUAGAGUUACUUGUGAGGGGGUUUUAAAGUACUAAUGGUGUAGAGAUGAAAUUUUGUAAUACCAUUUUUCGAAAGGAAAGUAAUGGCACAGGUAUAGGCGAAAGCAUCCCCUUAUGUGAUAACUGACGUUGAAGGACGAAGGCUUUGAGUCGCGAACAGGAUUAGAUACCCUGGUAGUCAAAGCAGAAAAUAAUGAGUGUCAUAGAUUAGAUAUUAAAGUUUAUUCUAUAAAUGAAAGUGUAAGCACUCCACCUCAAGAGUAAUUUGGCAACAUUGGAACUGAAAUCAUUAGACCGUUUCUGAAACCAGUAGUGAAGUAUGUUGUUUAAUUUGAUAAUCCGCAAAAAACCUUACCACAAUUUGAAUAUUUAUAUCGUUGAUAUAAUUACAAGCGUUGCACGGCUGUCUUCAGUUAAUGUCGUGAGAUUUUGGUUAGAUCCAUUAAAUUAACGCAAGCCCUUACUUUAUUUUAAAAUAAAGUCGUUCCCCACUAGAUUGGAUAAGAUAACAGGGAUUAAGACAAGUCAUCAUGGCCUGAAUAUUGUGGGCUAUA